rnacentral:rRNA from 1 species
CGUUACAGGUUCUCGGUGUGCUUCUGCCAAAACCCAAAU